UUAAGUCGUUGAUUAAAAGGCAAGAUAUUUUUUUUGUGUCAAAUAAUUUUUGGAUUUUCUCGAAGAAAUUUAUUUUUUGAAUUGACAGUUUCGCUGUGGCUCGGACUGCGUAUAAUAAAUUGGAAGCUAUUAUAUAUUUCUGGGAGGAAUUGGGAGCGUUUAUCUCUAAUUUCUCCCAAGGAUUUUUUAUUUAAAGUUUUUUUCCGCGAGAGAGAUAAAAGGAAAAGCAUCUCCAGAACACCACCAGUCUGACCUUUGGCUGUUUUAGGCGCACCAUUGCGAAUGAUUGUUGCCGUAAAUUUUAUUGUUGACAAAAGGAUAAUCAACCAUUCCAAGCUCUUGUCAAGAUUAUGAAAUAAAUAGAGCUACAUAUAUAAAGAAAAAUUUUGACAUACUUAUAUAAAUUCCUGACGUUUCUUAAGAGGAUCCAAAACAAAAAGGACAAUAUUAUCAUUGAGAGCGUAUCGUCAGAAGGGCAUCAUGGCAUAGUCUACAAUUUGUUUUACCAAAUACUUAUUUUGUCAAGAGUGAAUAUUUUACUUUGAUUUUGUUAAGCACCAGAAUCCAGCAAAGGCAACAGGCCUGCGGUCAACGAUGGACAUAAUGUUCUG
rnacentral:sRNA from 1 species